CCUACGGGUGGCAGCAGUGGGGAAUAUUGCACAAUGGGCGAAAGCCUGAUGCAGCAACGCCGCGUGAGCGAUGAAGGCCUUCGGGUCGUAAAGCUCUGUCCUCAAGGAAGAUAAUGACGGUACUUGAGGAGGAAUCCCCGUCUAACUACGUGCCAGCAGCCGCGGUAAUACGUAGGGGUCUAGCGUUAUCCGGAAUUACUGGGGGAAAGGGGUGCGUAGGUGGUUGCUUAAGUCAGAGGUGAAGGGCUACGGCGCAACCGUAGUAAGCCUUUGAAACUGGGGAACUUGAGUGCAGGAGAGGAGAGUGGAAUUCGUGGUGUAGCGGUGAAAUGCGUAGAUAUUAGGAGGAACACCAGUUGCGAAGGCGGCUCACUGGACUGUAACUGACACUGAGGCACGAAAGCGUGGGGAGCAAACAGGAGUAGAUACCCUUGUAGUC
rnacentral:rRNA from 1 species